rnacentral:rRNA from 1 species
GUUGCGGUUAAAGCUCGUAGUUGGAUCUGUGUCCCGCACCGCCGGUUCACCGCCUGUCGGUGUCAAACUGGCGUGUAUGCGGGACGUCCUGUCGGUGGUGGUCCGGGGCUUCGUCGACCCUAAGGGGGUCCAGUUCAUCUGCGACGCUCUGAAGGUCGGCGUAUGUUUCCGGCCGCCUUGUUAAUCCCGCCGCGGUGCUCUUCACCGAGUGUCGAGGCGGGCCGGCACGUUUACUUUGAACAAAUUAGAGUGCUUUAAGCAGGCUCUUUUCCGCCUGCAUACUGUGUGCAUGGAAUAAUGGAAUAGGACCUCGGUUCUAUUUUGUUGGUUUUCGGAAUCUGAGGUAAUGAUCAAUGGGGACAGGCGGGGGCAUUCGUAUUGCGACGUUAGAGGUGAAAUUCUUGGAUCGUCGCAAGACGGACCGAAGCGAAAGCAUUUGCCAAGUAUGUUCUCGUCGAUCAAGAACGAAAGUUAGAGGUUCGAAGGCGAUCAGAUACCGCCCUAGUUCUAACCAUAAACCAUGCCUGCCAGCGAUCCGCCGGCGUUCCUCCGAUGACCCGGCGGGCAGCUUCCGGGAAACCAGAGCUUUUGGGUUCCGGGGGAAGUAUGGUUGCAAAGCUGAAACUUAAAGGAAUUGACGGAAGGGCACCACCAGGAGUGGAGCCUGCGGCUUAAUUUGACUCAACACGGGAAAACUCACCAGGCCCGGACACCGGAAGGAUUGACAGAUUGAGAGCUCUUCUG